CAAUGCUGUUGUGACAAAAUUGCUACGUCUACAUCAGGCCAGCUGCAGCCUACUCUUUGUCUUCUGCAGUCUGCUUCCACUGUUUUCACUCUUUUCUCCCUCUUCCAUGGCCACGUUUAAAUCAUCUUUACCUCAACAUUUCCUCUUCUCACUUCAUUUCUUGAGCAAACAAAAGAUAUCUUGAAAUUGGCUCUUCUUUUAGGAAACUAAGUAACUCGUGAUAAUGUCUGGUUAUUCCUUCUUAAACGAUCAGCUGUCGAAACGCACCUCUAUUUUCAGUUUGCAAUUAUGGGUUGUUCUUGGAAUCUGCGUUGGAACUGCUAUAGUCAUCGUUCUCUUCCUUAUUUCCCUUUGUAUCACUUGUAAACGCCAAAACAAAGCAACCCGCAGCAGCAACAACGUUGUUAAGCCUAUUCUUAACUCCAGUAUCCCCAUCGCUUCUAAGGAGAUUCAAGAAAUCCGCGUCGAACCGUCCCAUCAUUCUAACCCUGUCCUACUUCCGGAAUCCGACCCUGUAUUGAUUCUUCAUCCGGAAGAAGGCAGCGGCGAUGUUUCUAGGUGCAACGGCAUUCACAUUGAGAUAGGGAAGGAUCAUAAGGUAGCGUCUCCAGAGCGUGGAUCCGGGUCGGGUCACGGGUCAGGUGAGGCCCGGUGUAGUGAUCAAGGGAUGACAGUUAGGGCUGUUCCGGAAGUUUCCCACUUGGGGUGGGGACAUUGGCAUACAUUGAGAGAGCUUGAGGAGUCUACAAAUGAUUUUGCGGCGGAUAAUGUGAUUGGUGAAGGGGGCUAUGGAAUUGUUUACCGUGGAGUUUUGGAAGACAAUAGCAAAGUUGCUGUCAAGAAUCUGCUAAAUAAUAGGGGUCAAGCUGAAAAGGAGUUUAAGGUUGAAGUGGAAGCAAUUGGGCGUGUACGGCAUAAGAACUUGGUGAGAUUACUUGGUUAUUGUGCUGAAGGAGCUCACAGGAUGCUUGUUUAUGAGUAUGUUGACAAUGGGAAUUUAGAACAAUGGCUUCAUGGAGAUGUGGGACCUUGCAGCCCUUUGACAUGGGAGAUCCGUAUGAAUAUAGUGCUUGGAACUGCGAAAGGGUUGGCAUAUCUGCAUGAGGGACUUGAACCUAAGGUUGUUCAUCGUGAUAUCAAGUCAAGCAACAUUUUGCUUGAUAAGCAGUGGAAUCCAAAAGUAUCCGACUUUGGCCUUGCCAAGCUCUUGGGGUCUGGGAGGAGUUAUGUGACCACUCGUGUGAUGGGAACAUUUGGAUAUGUGGCUCCUGAAUAUGCUAGCACAGGCAUGCUAAACGAGAGAAGUGAUGUAUACAGCUUUGGCAUUCUUCUUAUGGAAAUAAUUUCAGGAAGAACUCCGGUGGAUUACAGCCGGCCUCAAGGAGAGGUAAAUCUAGUCGAGUGGAUUAAAUCAAUGGUUAGCAACAGGAAUGCAGAGAGUGUUUUGGAUCCCAGGUUACCAGAGAAGCCUUCUUCCAGAGCACUGAAGCGAGCCCUUUUAGUUGCUUUACGCUGCGUGGACCCAAAUGCUCAGAAAAGGCCUAAAAUGGGGCAUGUAAUUCAUAUGCUAGAAGCCAAUGAGUUCCCGUUUAGAGAUGAACGCAAAGAUGGACGGGAGAACAUGCGCUCACUACGAGAUGAUGUAAAGAAUAGAUUGACUGACAAAUGUGUAAACGAAUCCGGUGAUAGUAGUGGGUAUGAAAGUGGUGCCCAAACUAAUAGAUCGUUAUGGAGAAAACAAGAAUCCUAAGAGCAAUAAAUAGCCAUUCAAACUCAGGUUAAGGUGAAUUCACACAUCGUCUUUAGCUAUUUGUUUCCAUGGAGAGCCAGCAUAGGGUGUGGGGACUUUGCUUGCGACGGGAGCAAACCUUGACAACUAAAAAGGGAGGUGGAAACAUUGGCGCUUUCCUUCAUAAUAGUUAGAUGUGCUAUAAUGUUACUUGAAUAUGACGUGUGUGUCACAAUCCAUCGUAUUGUGUUUGCUUAACGUAAAUUUACUCUUCUUUUCUAUUAUUUUGUUUAUGGCCCAGUUCUUGUAAUAAUUGAGGCUUAAAUCCUAGCAUUCCAACAACGGAAAGCUGUUUGAACUCUGAGUUACAAAGUGGAGUAGAUCAACUUUUUUAA